GACGAACGCUGGCGGCGUGCUUAACACAUGCAAGUCGAACGGAAAGGCCCUGCUUUUGCGGGGUGCUCGAGUGGCGAACGGGUGAGUAACACGUGAGUAACCUGCCCUUGACUGUGGGAUAACUUCAGGAAACUGGGGCUAAUACCGGAUAGGAGCUCCUGCUGCAUGGUGUGGGUUGGAAAGUUUCGGCGGUUUGGGAUGUACUCGCGGCUUAUCAGCUUGUUGGUGGGGUAGUGGCUUACCAAGGCUUUGACGGCUAGCCGGCCUGAGAGGGUGAACGGCCACAUGGGGACUGAGAUACGGCCCAGACUCCUACGGGAGGCAGAAGUGGGGAAUAUUGCACAAUGGGCGGAAGCCUGAUGCAGCAACGCCGCGUGCGGGAUGACGGCCUUCGGGUUGUAAACCGCUUUCGCCUGUGACGAAGCGUGAGUGACGGUAAUGGGUAAAGAAGCACCGGCUAACUACGUG
rnacentral:rRNA from 1 species